AUUUCCACCUCUAUGUCUGCAGUAACUUGGGCAAUGUCGUCUUCCUUCUUCUUCAUGUUGCGCUUCUUUUCAGGUUCCACGAAACCACCUUCGAUGAAACCCCCUAGGGAGCGGAACUUGAGAUGUCGGUGUCGUAGUAGACCAUCUAUGUCCAUUUGUGCAAGCUCCUCCAUGGCCUUAGUGACAGUAUGCUUUAUCUGUUGAGAAGUCCAGGUAGGAUCAGUGUGCG
rnacentral:misc_RNA from 1 species